AUCACUACACCGACGACUAGAUACGAGAAAUCCCUGACCAUUUGGAUCCUAAAUACUACAAAACAAGGAAUACCCCUGCACUGGAAAAAAAGACUCACCCCCACCCCUCACCCUGUGGUUUGAUGAAGUGGAGGACUUACAACAACUGAAGGAAUUGACAUUUACUGCUCAGACACACACACAGAGAUACGUAGACACAUGGACACACAGGUUAACGGU